AUUGAACGCUGGCGGCAGGCCUAACACAUGCAAGUCGAGCGGAUGAAGGGAGCUUGCUCCUGGAUUCAGCGGCGGACGGGUGAGUAAUGCCUAGGAAUCUGCCUGGUAGUGGGGGAUAACGUCCGGAAACGGGCGCUAAUACCGCAUACGUCCUGAGGGAGAAAGUGGGGGAUCUUCGGACCUCACGCUAUCAGAUGAGCCUAGGUCGGAUUAGCUAGUUGGUUGGGUAAAGGCCUACCAAGGCGACGAUCCGUAACUGGUCUGAGAGGAUGAUCAGUCACAACUGAAAGGAGGAACGGUCCCGGCCUCAUAGGGAGGCAGCAGUGGGGAAUAUUGGACAAUGGGCGAAAGCCUGAUCCAGCCAUGCCGCGUGUGUGAAGAAGGUCUUCGGAUUGUAAAGCACUUUAAGUUGGGAGGAAGGGCAGUAAGUUAAUACCUUGCUGUUUUGACGUUACCAACAGAAUAAGCACCGGCUAACUUCGUG
rnacentral:rRNA from 1 species